GGGGAAGUGGUCUACUGGUAGGGCACAGGCACCUCGAUUCAUUAGAGGUGAGCAAUUCAUUAGCUCAUGCUUCAUUCAUUCAUAAAAAGCAUGUCCUGGAUGUACGUUCGAUUCGUACCUUCUCCA
rnacentral:tRNA from 1 species